GUAAAGAGUUGGAAACAUCGUGCAGAGAUCCUUUCCAUGGAAUGAUACAGAUCCCCACGUUCCAGGCGUUCUUCCAGAGAUUCAUAGAUUCCCAGUCUGGGUGGCUGGGUGGCGAGCCAACCGUGUUUGUGACUCUGACUUUAGACGGAUUGCCAGGAUCAUCUUCUUCAUCUUCAUGGUGCUGUGCAGCAUCCUUUUCUCCUACCAUCCUUCCAUGAUGCUGGCCUAGACCUGAACACAUGCUAUCAAUUAGCACACCUUUCUGCUGAUCUGACUCUGUUGGCUGAAUCCCUUGCUGCUGACCCUGGUGUUUAUGGUUUCCCUCCACCUCUACACUACAGGAUUGUUCCUGCUACGGUUUGCAUGGAUGCUUCCACUCAAACAGAGACUUCUUCUGUUGUUUCCUCUGUGAAUAAUUUUGAGCUUACUGAUGAGGACAUGGCUUUCUCUGGGGCUGACCCUGACUUUAACCCUACUUCAGAUUCUCUCAGUCCUACUCCGUCCUCA
ensembl:lncRNA